GUGCUCGGUUCAGCAGCACAUAUACUAAAAUUGGAACAACACAGAGAUUAGCAUGGCCCCUGCACAAAAAUGAUACACAAACUCGUGAAACAUUCCAUAUUAAA